rnacentral:rRNA from 1 species
GAUGAACGCUGGCGGCGUGCUUAACACAUGCAAGUCGAGCGGAAAGGCCGAAGCUUGCUUCGGUACUCGAGUGGCGAACGGGUGAGUAACACGUGGGUGAUCUGCCCUGUACUUCGGGAUAAGCUUGGGAAACUGGGUCUAAUACCGGAUAUGACGAUCUCUUGGAUGGGGUUGUGGAAAGCUUUUGCGGUAUGGGAUGAGCUCGCGGCCUAUCAGCUUGUUGGUGGGGUAAUGGCCUACCAAGGCGUCGACGGGUAGCCGGCCUGAGAGGGUGUACGGCCACAUUGGGACUGAGAUACGGCCCAGACUCCUACGGGAGGCAGCAGUGGGGAAUAUUGCACAAUGGGCGCAAGCCUGAUGCAGCGACGCCGCGUGGGGGAUGACGGCCUUCGGGUUGUAAACUCCUUUCGCAAUCGACGAAGCCUUUUGGUGACGGUAGGUUGAGAAGAAGCACCGGCUAACUACGUG